AGAGUUUGAUCCUGGCUCAGGAUGAACGCUAGCGGCAGGCUUAACACAUGCAAGUCGAGGGGCAGCGCGGGGUAGCAAUACCCUGGCGGCGACCGGCGGAAGGGUGCGUAACACGUGAGCGACUUGCCCGUCACAGGGAGAUAACCGGCGGAAACGGCGACUAAUAUCCCAUAUGAUCCGGUGCUACAUGGCGUCGGGUUGAAAGAUUCAUCGGUGACGGAUAGGCUCGCGGGACAUUAGCUUGACGGCGGGGCAACGGCCCACCGUGGCGACGAUGUCUAGGGGUUCUGAGAGGAAGAUCCCCCACACUGGAACUGAGACACGGUCCAGACUCCUACGGGAGGCAGCAGUGAGGAAUAUUGGUCAAUGGGCGGAAGCCUGAACCAGCCAUGCCGCGUGAAGGAAUAAGGCCCUAUGGGUCGUAAACUUCUUUAGACGCAGAGCAAUAAGGGUCUCGUGAGGCCCGAUGAGAGUAUGCGUAGAAUAAGCAUCGGCUAACUCCGUGCCAGCAGCCGCGGUAAUACGGGGGAUGCGAGCGUUAUCCGGAUUUAUUGGGUUUAAAGGGUGCGUAGGCGGCAAGGUAAGUCAGCGGUGAAAGACCAGGGCUCAACUCUGGAAGUGCCGUUGAUACUGUCUGGCUAGAAUGAUUCCGCCGUGGGAGGAAUGAGUAGUGUAGCGGUGAAAUGCAUAGAUAUUACUCAGAACACCGAUUGCGAAGGCAUCUCACGAGGGGUUCAUUGACGCUGAGGCACGAAAGCGUGGGGAUCGAACAGGAUUAGAUACCCUGGUAGUCCACGCAGUAAACGAUGAUGGCUAACUGUCGGGCCUUCGGGUUCGGCGGCCAAGCGAAAGCGAUAAGCCAUCCACCUGGGGAGUACGACCGCAAGGUUGAAACUCAAAGGAAUUGACGGGGGCCCGCACAAGCGGAGGAACAUGUGGUUUAAUUCGAUGAUACGCGAGGAACCUUACCCAGGCUCGAACGGCAUCUGAAUCGGCCAGAGAUGGUCGAGUCUUCGGACAGAUGUCGAGGUGCUGCAUGGUUGUCGUCAGCUCGUGCCGUGAGGU
rnacentral:rRNA from 1 species